AUUGAACGCUGGCGGCAGGCCUAACACAUGCAAGUCGAGCGAGUGGCGGACGGGUGAGUAAUGUCUGGGAAACUGCCCGAUGGAGGGGGAUAACUACUGGAAACGGUAGCUAAUACCGCAUACCAUCGGAUGUGCCCAGAUGGGAUUAGCUUGUAGGUGGGGUAACGGCUCACCUAGGCGACGAUCCCUAGCUGGUCUGAGAGGAUGACCAUCCAACCUGGAAAUGAGACACGGGCCAGACUCCGACGGGAGGCAGCAGGGGGGAAUAUUGCACAAUGGGCGCAAGCCUGAUGCAGCCAUGCCGGGUGUAUGAAGAAGGCUUUCGGGGUUUAAAGUACUUUCAGUGGGGAGGCGUUACCCGCAGAAGAAGCACCGGCUAACUCCGUGCCAGCAGCCGCGGUAAUUC
rnacentral:rRNA from 1 species